rnacentral:rRNA from 1 species
UAAUACGAAGGGGGCUAGCGUUGCUCGGAAUUACUGGGCGUAAAGGGAGCGUAGGCGGACAUUUAAGUCAGGGGUGAAAUCCCGAGGCUCAACCUCGGAACUGCCUUUGAUACUGGGUGUCUUGAGUGUGAGAGAGGUAUGUGGAACUCCGAGUGUAGAGGUGAAAUUCGUAGAUAUUCGGAAGAACACCAGUGGCGAAGGCGACAUACUGGCUCAUUACUGACGCUGAGGCUCGAAAGCGUGGGGAGCAAACAGG